UACGUAGGCAGCAAGCGUUGUUCGGAGUUACUGGGCGUAAAGGGGGCGUAGGCGGCUCUAUAAGUAUGGGGUGAAAUCUCCCGGCUUAACUGGGAGGGUGCGCUAUAGACUGUGGGGCUAGAGUGCGGGAGAGGAAAGUGGAAUUCCUGGUGUAGCGGUGAAAUGCGUAGAUAUCAGGAGGAACACCGGUGGUGUAAACGGCUUUCUGGACCGUAACUGACGCUGAUGCACGAAAGCGUGGGUAGCAAACAGG
rnacentral:rRNA from 1 species